rnacentral:rRNA from 1 species
AAGACCUUGCACUUUUGGAGCGGCCGAUGUCUGAUUAGCUAGUUGGUGGGGUAAUGGCCUACCAAAGCUUCGAUCAGUAGCUGGUCUGAGAGGACGGCCAGCCACACUGGGACUGAGACACGGCCCAGACUCCUACGGGAGGCAGCAGUGGGGAAUUUUGGACAAUGGGCGCAAGCCUGAUCCAGCCAUGCCGCGUGAGUGAAGAAGGCCUUCGGGUUGUAAAGCUCUUUCAGCCGGGAAGAAAAGGUUGCGAYUAAUAAUCGCAAUUUAUGACGGUACCGGAAGAAGAAGCACCGGCUAACUACGUGCCAGCAGCCGCGGUAAUACGUAGGGUGCGAGCGUUAAUCGGAAUUACUGGGCGUAAAGGGUGCGCAGGCGGUUUUGUAAGUCAGAUGUGAAAUCCCCGGGCUUAACCUGGGAACU